rnacentral:rRNA from 1 species
GAAUUCGAUUAACGCGAAGAACCUUACCCAGGCUUGAACUGCAGAGGACAUUCUACGAAAGUAGACUUCCGCAAGGGCCUCUGUAGAGGUGCUGCAUGGCUGUCGUCAGCUCGUGUCGUGAGAUGUUGGGUUAAGUCCCGCAACGAGCGCAACCCUUGUCUUCUGUUGCCAUCGGGUCAAGCCGGGCACUCUGAAGAGACUGCCGGUGACAAACCGGAGGAAGGUGGGGAUGACGUCAAGUCAGCAUGGCCUUUAUGUCUGGGGCCACACACGUGCUACAAUGGCCGGUACAAACCGUCGCGAGCCCGCAAGGGGGAGCUAAUCGGAGAAAGCCGGUCUCAGCUCGGAUUGUAGGCUGCAACUCGCCUGCAUGAAGUUGGAAUCGCUAGUAAUCGCGGAUCAGCACGCCGCGGUGAAUACGUUCCCGGGCCUUGUCACACCGAAUCACUA